rnacentral:rRNA from 1 species
ACUCAAAUGAAUAGACGGGGGCCCGCACAAGCGGUGGAGUAUGUGGUUUAAUUCGAUGCAACGCGAAGAACCUUACCUGGGUUGGAAACCUAGAGAAAAGCAUUAGAGAUAAUGUGUGCUCGCAAGAGCGUUCUAGGCAGGUGCUGCAUGGCUGUCGUCAGCUCGUGUCGUGAGAUGUUGGGUUAAGUCCCGCAACGAGCGCAACCCUUAUCCUUAAUUACUAACAUUAAGUUGAGCACUUUAAGGAGACCGCCGGUGAUAAACCGGAGGAAGGUGGGGAUGACGUCAAGUCCUCAUGGCCCCUAUGUCCAGGGCUACACACGUACUACAAUGGUUAAGACAAAGCGCUAGCAAGACCGCGAGGUGGAGCGAAUCGCAAAAACAUAAUCUCAGUUCGGAUUGUGGUCUGCAACUCGACCACAUGAAGUUGGAAUCGCUAGUAAUCGCGGAUCAGCAAGCCGCGGUGAAUACGUUCCCGGGCCUUGUACACACCGCCCGU